GACAGAGGGUGCAAACGUUGUUCGGAAUUACUGGGCGUAAAGCGCGUGUAGGCGGCCCUGCAAGUCGGAUGUGAAAUCCCACGGCUCAACCGUGGAAGUGCAUUCGAAACUGCAGGGCUAGAGUCCUGGAGAGGAAGGUGGAAUGCUUGGUGUAGAGGUGAAAUUCGUAGAUAUCAAGCGGAACACCGGUGGCGAAGGCGGCCUUCUGGACAGUGACUGACGCUGAGGAACGAAAGCUAGGGUAGCGAAUGGG
rnacentral:rRNA from 1 species